rnacentral:lncRNA from 1 species
UCCCAGCUUCUUCUCCCACCAAUCUCAACCAAAAAUGAAAUCUUCCACAUAGAAAAGAGAAUGAUCAAAAUGUAUUCUUGGGAAAUUGACUCUAGAUCUCCCCCCUCUCUCUCCACCCUCCUGUCCCCCCUUUUUCCUCACUACCUAAACAGGCAGACAACAAAUUACACUUUUGGCAUUUCCAGUUUGGAGCCCUACAGCAAUACUCACUGAAGAAGCUGUCUCAACAAAGAGGAACAGAGCACUAAAGCUAAAUAACCCCCAUGAAGGACCAACCCUCUUCCGGCAGUCCCCAAAUGAAGAGCAAUUGUAUUCCUUUAAUUCAGUCAUAAAUCAACUCUCAAUUCUAUGAGAUUUUUCACAGAAGAACGGAGCGCCUCAAAAGUGGAUCAAGGCAGAAAUGGAUGUGGAAAUUAUCAUCCUGUACCUUUGAGGUAAAGAGGCUUCUACAGCUCUGGCAUGAGCUACCACAGGUCAUAACCAUUAGGAAAGAAACUGGAAUGUUACCAUGCCAGGCUUUGUGAAUAAACUAAAGUUUUGCUGGUGGUGGCACAGGAAAAAAAUGAAGAAACCAAGAGGACUUGAACCAAGUGGGUAUGACUCCAAAGCCCAUGCUUUAAAUGAACAAAUUGGCCUACCCUCUAAGGCAAGAACCCUUUAAUAGUGGUCUAUGUCAGAAAAAUAUCAAAAAGACUCAAGGCUCUUAAAUAAAUAAGGAAAUGAA